UGUAUUGCCUCCUUGGCUUCUUUGUUUUCCAGACUCUCCUCCUCUGGUGCAACUAACUUGGAGCAGCGGUACUUACCUGGUUCCUAAAGUCAGGUUGAUUCUGCUUUUGUCACAGAUUUGUUUGCUCCAUCAUGUUACAGACCUCUUGGUGGUUUUCUCUACCAGGAAGAAUGAAAGGAUUAUGAAACAGAUUAAAGAAUCAAAAAGAAUAAGAAUGCCUUCCCCAGGAGGAAAAACAAAUAUAAAUUGAUGCAGUCCAGCAGAAGGACAACUAACUGUAUGCCUGGUUCUGAGCCUGGUUCUCCUAGCUCACCUCUAGCAUUGGACUUGAUAUUUGCUGUGUGAUGUCACUCUGAGAAUUUUAAAUGUUGAGUAUAGAUUUUUUCCUCUUUCAAUAUUUUAUAUGUUUAUAUCAG
rnacentral:lncRNA from 1 species